CCCACACCCAUGUGUGUAGAACCUCAAAGGAUCACCAUUAAAUUUGGCACAGAUCUCUAUAAAAGUUAUCACAUGUGUGUGGGACUUAACUUUUAUAUAGAUCUGUGCCAAAUUUAAUGGUGAUCUUUUGGGGUCCUACACACAUGGGUGUGAG
rfam:Amborella trichopoda AMTR_V1.0_contig_41018, whole genome shotgun sequence.